rnacentral:tRNA from 1 species
AAGUAUAGCUCAGUGACAGAGCACAUGCCUGGUACCCACAGGGUCCUGGGUUCAAUUCCCAGUACCCUUA